rnacentral:rRNA from 1 species
GAUGAACGCUGGCGGCGUGCCUAAUACAUGCAAGUCGAGCGAAUGGAUUAAGAGCUUGCUCUUAUGAAGUUAGCGGCGGACGGGUGAGUAACACGUGGGUAACCUGCCCAUAAGACUGGGAUAACUCCGGGAAACCGGGGAUAAUACCGGAUAACAUUUUGAACCGCAUGGAUCGAAAUUGAAAGGCGGCUUCGGCUGUCACAUAUGGAUGGACCCGGGUCGCAUUAGCUAGUUGGGGAGGUAACUGAUCACCAAGGCAACGAUGGGUAGCCGACCUGGGAGGGUGAUCGGCCACACUGGGACUGAGACACGGCCCAGACUCCUACGGGAGGCAGCAGUAGGGAAUCUUCCGCAAUGGACGAAAGUCUGACGGAGCAACGCCGCGUGAGUGAUGAAGGCUUUCGGGUCGUAAAACUCUGUUGUUAGGGAAGAACAAGUGCUAGUUGAAUAAGCUGGCACCUUGACGGUACCUAACCAGAAAGCCACGGCUAACUACGUGCCAGCCGCCGCGGUAA